ACCCGCUGAAUUUAAGCAUAUAAUUAAGCAGAGGAAUAAACUGAACAGGAUUCUUUGAGUAAUGGCGAAUGAACCAGGAACAGCUCAAAUUGCAAACCUGAAUCAUUGAUUCGGGAUUGUGCCUUUGGGGAAUGUUGCCAAUGGCAAUGCACAUGUUCAUCUUUUGGGACAAGGUUGCAAUGAAGGUGGAACCCCUGGCCUGCGUGUGCAAUUUUCAUGUGAGGCAUGUUUCUCAGAGUCGCUUUCCUUGGACAUGUAGUGUUAAGUGGGUGGUAUACUGCAUCCAAAAUUAAAUGUGUGUUUGAGAUUGAUAGCUGACAAGUACCGUGCGGGAAAUGUGAAAAGAACUUUGAGAAGAAGGUUACAAGUACCUGAAGCAGCUGAAAUGUAAUUAGAUGAUGGGUGUAUGCUGCGUGCGAUUGCUGUGCUCGCAUGGCUUGCAUGGGCUGUGCUCUAGCGUGAGUACUGCUCAGCUUGUCGGGGGCCAGUGUGCCGCGCGUAGCAACAAGGGGCCAAUGGGGUUGACCGCCAUAUGCGUCUUUGCAGCUGCUUUUGCAAAUGUGUAUACGCAUUUCUGACAACCAUAUUGGCCAGCAUUGCUUAGCUGUGGUUUUGUUUGGCUUACUGACCAGACUGAAUUAUGCUAAGUGCAUCCCUUACAAAACCUCAUCAUGUGCCCCGUCUUGAAACACGGACCAAGGAGUUUAGUGCAUGUGCAAGCUCAUGGGAUGUGGCUGCUGGUGAAAUGAAGGUGAUGCUUGAUAUGUGUACAUCAACAACCAAAUGCUGAUUUGUGUGAAUUUUGAGUAUGAGCAUUUGCAGUAGGACCCGAAAGAUGGUGAACUAUACCUGUGAAAAAACAAUCCAGGGGAAACUCUGGUGGAGGCUUGCAAUGAUACUGACGUGCAAAUCGUUCGUCUUACUUGGGUAUGGGGGCGAAAGACUAAUCGAACCAUCUAGUAGCUGGUUCCUCCCGAAGUUUCCCUCAGGAUAGCUGGGAGUUGCAAGUUUCAUCAGGUAAAGCGAAUGAUUGAAGGACUUGGGGGCUUGAAGCCCUUGACCUAUUCUCAAACUUUAAAUGGGUAUGAUCCGUGGGUUGUUUUUAAACAAUGUGAUGAAUGCAAAUCCUAUGUGGGCCAUUUUUGGUAAGCAGAAUUGGCGAUGAGGGAUGAACCUAACGUCAGGAUAUGGUGCUAUAUUGCUCGCUCAUCAGAUACCAAAAAAGGUGUUGGUCCAUUUGAACAGCAGGACAGUGGUCAUGGAAGCUGAAAACUGCUAAGGAAUGUGUAACAACUCACCUGCCGAAUGGACUAGCCCUGAAAAUGGAUGGCGCUUUAGCGGGUGACCAAUGCCUAUCUGCUCGUGCAUUUGUAUUGUGAGCACAUAGGGGGGUACAGCAGUUGAUGAUGAAGCAUCUUGUGUGAACGUGUGUGGAGAAACUGUUAUUGCAGAUCUUGGUGGUAGUAGC
rnacentral:rRNA from 1 species